rnacentral:lncRNA from 1 species
CAACUUCUAGUUGAUAUACAAGAAUUCGUGCCAGGAUUAUGCCUCAUCGAUGACGAAAUGGAUUAUUAGAUGACUUUUAACAUUGGAUCGAUACUCUGCAACAUACGUUGCUUAGGAAUUGCACGCAGAGUCGGAUCUACAUAUGAGUGUUUGGAAAUGAAAAGUUUUUAAUGGUAUGAGUUGGUUAAGACCAACUGGAGACCCAAAACGGUGAUGCUACUCUGCAAUAUGCGUUCCUUAGGAAUUGCAGGCAAAGUCAUAUCUACACAAAGAUGUGGUGAAACAAAAAAAAAAUCCUAAGUGGUUUGAAUUCGGAAGACCUGAGUUGGUGAUGUCACUUUGCGACAUGCGUUCCCUAGUAAUGGCAGGCUAAGUUAUAUCUUUAUGGAAAUUGUUCGAAACAUUCGAAGUGCGUGUUGGAGAAAGUGAGUAAAACGCUAGUUGUUACGAAGGUUAAUAAGUGUUAGUUUGGUGGGAUUGAACCAAUGUCAUCUGACUCGUUCCUGCUGAGGAAACUCGUGUGGACCUUUAUAACAAUUCUCGACGAUUGUUUUUUUGAUAACCUUCUUGCUUACUCCAACCGCGAGGUUAAGUUCACUAAACAUCGAUAGUUAGAUGUACGUCAAAUACUUCAAACGUUGUUUUUGUUUAGAGUUG